CAACAUCACAAUCAUGUACAUUAUCAAUACAAAAUAAUAAUAGCGAUGAUCCAUCAAUUACACCAACAAGUACAUCAACAAAUACAAUCCAUAGAGGCAGCAGAACUACGAUGACGAAAAGUAAUAUCAACAAGAACCAAUACUAACAAGAGUAACAACAUCAGUACAAAGUACAUUACUAUCAGCUACAUUGCCGAUACAAAGUCUAACAUCAGCUGCAUUGGCGAUACAAAAUAUCAAGAAUAAUAAUUCUUUAGUUACAUCAACAAGUGCACCAACAAAUUGAAUUCAAGAAAACAACGAAGCUACGAAAUUAUAGUCAAUCUUAAAUAGUGAUUCUAAAGGCAAAUCGAUUUUAUCGAGCUUUCAUAUCAGACUAAAGAAUAAAAAUUCAACAAAAAGAUUCAUACUACCUAGAGUUUGCG